AUCUUUUUGUGAUUCUUAGUGUGGUGACUGGGUUCUCACAUCAUUGUGUGAGGUGUGCUGCCCUCAGACCCAUUACAGUGUCAGCAAAUGAUCUGUGCAGUU
ensembl:snoRNA